rnacentral:rRNA from 1 species
UACGUAGGGUGCGAGCGUUAAUCGGAAUUACUGGGCGUAAAGCGUGCGCAGGCGGUUUGUUAAGAUAGGCGUGAAAUCCCCGGGCUCAACCUGGGAACUGCGCUUAUGACUGGCAAGCUAGAGUACGGCAGAGGGGGGUGGAAUUCCACGUGUAGCAGUGAAAUGCGUAGAGAUGUGGAGGAACACCAAUGGCGAAGGCAGCCCCCUGGGUCGAUACUGACGCUCAUGCACGAAAGCGUGGGGAGCAAACAGG